UCUAUCAGUCUCUGCCGGGUAGGGUGUCCGGGACCUUCACUUUGAACAAAGGAGAAAAGCCCCCGGUUUGCGGGAGUUUGUUUACCAAUGAACCAACGCGUGUCUACAGCAGAGCGGGGGGAAACCAAAAAAAAAAAAAAAAAAAAGGGAAGCGAAAGCGCAAAUACAAGCAAAGUCAAAUCCAAAUAAAAAGACCCAGAAGCCUUUAUAGAAUCUGGAGCAAAUGUCGUAUCGGUGCGUGCGGUUGGAAACAGAAGAUCUACCGUGGAAACCUCAUAUUUUAAGAAUGUCUAACUGUUGUGUAUAUAAAAUAAAGAUUUACACUGUUAACUCAU